AUCAGCAUUAUUUGUAUCUAUAAAAUGUUGGAAACAAUGAAACUCUCAAAUUUAAAAAAAAUUAAUGAUUAAUAUUAAAUGUAUACAAUGGAAUGUAAUAUAGCCAUUGAACACAUAAUUUAAAGAUUUUUUUUUCAUUAAACAUUCAAUUUAUGGAGACUUAAUAAAAUAAUAAAAUUGAAAAAAUAUACGCCAAAAUGUCUUUACGCUAAGAAUCUCUUUUUUAACAUUAUCUAUAGAGAAAAAGUAAAAUGUAACAAUACUGUAAGCAUGAGGUUAAAGAGUAUAUAGAAAAAAGAUAUAAAGAAUAUAUAAUUAUACACUUGAGAACUAAAGGAACAAAUGAUUUUGAAAUAAUGAUCAUAUUUUAUGAACUCACUGAAUGAAAUGAUUUUCUUAGAUUCAUUUCAGUAUCCUAGAAUAUAUAGAAAGAGCAGUCCUUAUAAACUUAGGUUUCUAAAUCUUUCAUUUCUUGGUAGAAUGAAGAGAGGGAGAAUGGAUGGAACAUAAGAAAUUAGACAAAGGGUCUACAGAUUAGAGAUCUUCAAAAACAAAAUACAUAUUCCCCAGAAGGAGUUAAGGUAUGGUGCUGUGGGAUUCUUUCCUGGCUCCUCCAAUCAGGACAUGUCUUGAAGAAGAAAUAGUUGUCUCUUUCAUCCAAGUGUCAGCAUCUAGGCGGCUGAGCUCCCAAAAGAAGGUCACUCUGCCUGUUUUAAGGACGUGUCAAUGGGCGGUAAGUAGUAAGAACAUUUAAUUUUUUCUUUUGCCUUUGUUUCCCACAUCACCUAUCAAAUACGUUUGGCCUCUCUUUGUUUAUUUUUUAUAUUUACUAAUUUCUUUAAAAUCAUUUCUAUUUUAAAAAAAGUGUGAUUUUCCCACCUCUUAAUUCUUCAUCUUUAGUUCUUGCUGUUUUUCAUCAUAAUUUAAUAUACAUUUUUUGAACAGA